AGAAUUUAAUGCUCAAUCUGAUGACAAGGUUAUUUCUAUAAUGCUAGACACCAAGGGUCCGGAGGUUAGAAGUGGGGAUGUACCUCAACCAAUUAUGCUGAAGGAGGGACAGGAAUUUAAUUUCACUAUCAGAAGAGGAGUCAGCACAGAGGACACUGUUAGUGUAAAUUAUGAUGACUUUGUGAAUGAUGUUGAGGUUGGGGACAUACUAUUGGUGGAUGGUGGAAUGAUGUCAUUAGCUGUGAAGUCAAAGACAAAGGAU
rnacentral:misc_RNA from 1 species